rnacentral:rRNA from 1 species
UUGGAUCCAGACUUUGAUCAUGGCUCAGGAUGAACGCUAGCUACAGGCUUAACACAUGCAAGUCGAGGGGAAACGACAUUGAAAGCUUGCUUUUGAUGGGCGUCGACCGGCGCACGGGUGAGUAACGCGUAUCCAACCUGCCCACCACUUGGGGAUAACCUUGCGAAAGUAAGACUAAUACCCAAUGAUAUCUCUAGAAGACAUCUGAAAGAGAUUAAAGAUUUAUCGGUGAUGGAUGGGGAUGCGUCUGAUUAGCUUGUUGGCGGGGUAACGGCCCACCAAGGCGACGAUCAGUAGGGGUUCUGAGAGGAAGGUCCCCCACAUUGGAACUGAGACACGGUCCAAACUCCUACGGGAGGCAGCAGUGAGGAAUAUUGGUCAAUGGGCGAGAGCCUGAACCAGCCAAGUAGCGUGCAGGAUGACGGCCCUAUGGGUUGUAAACUGCUUUUAUAAGGGAAUAAAGUGAGAGUCGUGAGUCUUUUUGUAUGUACCUUAUGAAUAAGGACCGGCUAAUUCCGUGCCAGCAGCCGCGGUAAUACGGAAGGUCCGGGCGUUAUCCGGAUUUAUUGGGUUUAAAGGGAGCGUAGGCCGGAGAUUAAGCGUGUUGUGAAAUGUAGACGCUCAACGUCUGCACUGCAGCGCGAACUGGUUUCCUUGAGUACGCACAAAGUGGGCGGAAUUCGUGGUGUAGCGGUGAAAUGCUUAGAUAUCACGAAGAACUCCGAUUGCGAAGGCAGCUCACUGGAGCGCAACUGACGCUGAAGCUCGAAAGUGCGGGUAUCGAACAGGAUUAGAUACCCUGGUAGUCCGCACGGUAAACGAUGGAUGCCCGCUGUUGGUCUGAAUAGGUCAGCGGCCAAGCGAAAGCAUUAAGCAUCCCACCUGGGGAGUACGCCGGCAACGGUGCAACUCAAAUGAAU